AUCCAGCUGAUGAGUCCCAAAUAGGACGAAACGCGCGUCCUGAAU
rfam:Schistosoma rodhaini strain Burundi genome assembly, scaffold: SROB_scaffold0003913